rnacentral:rRNA from 1 species
UCGACCGCCUGGGGAGUACGGCCGCAAGGUUAAAACUCAAAUGAAUUGACGGGGGCCCGCACAAGCGGUGGAGCAUGUGGUUUAAUUCGAUGCAACGCGAAGAACCUUACCUGGUCUUGACAUCCACAGAACUUUCCAGAGAUGGAUUGGUGCCUUCGGGAACUGUGAGACAGGUGCUGCAUGGCUGUCGUCAGCUCGUGUUGUGAAAUGUUGGGUUAAGUCCCGCAACGAGCGCAACCCUUAUCCUUUGUUGCCAGCGGUCCGGCCGGGAACUCAAAGGAGACUGCCAGUGAUAAACUGGAGGAAGGUGGGGAUGACGUCAAGUCAUCAUGGCCCUUACGACCAGGGCUACACACGUGCUACAAUGGCAUAUACAAAGAGAAGCGACCUCGCGAGAGCAAGCGGACCUCAUAAAGUAUGUCGUAGUCCGGAUUGGAGUCUGCAACUCGACUCCAUGAAGUCGGAAUCGCUAGUAAUCGUAGAUCAGAAUGCUACGGUGAAUACGUUCCCGGGCCUUGUACACACCGCCCGUCACACCAUGGGAGUGGGUUGCAAAAGAAGUAGGUAGCUUAACCUUCGGGAGGGCGCUUACCACUUUGUGAUUCAUGACUGGGGUGAAGUCGUAACAAGGUAACCGUAGGGGAACCUGCGGUUGGAUCACCUCCUUA